ACGAACGCUGGCGGCAUGCCUAACACAUGCAAGUCGAACGAGACCUUCGGGUCUAGUGGCGCACGGGUGCGUAACGCGUGGGAACCUGCCCUUAGGUUCGGAAUAACUCCCCGCAAGGGGUGCUAAUACCGGAUAAUGUCUUCGGACCAAAGAUUUAUCGCCUUUGGAUGGGCCCGCGUUGGAUUAGCUAGUUGGUAGGGUAAAAGCCUACCAAGGCGACGAUCCAUAGCUGGUCUGAGAGGAUGAUCAGCCACACUGGGACUGAGACACGGCCCAGACUCAGAGGGGAGGAGGAGGGGGGAAAUAUGGAAAAAGGGGAAAAAGCUGAACCAAGAAAGGCCGCGGGAGGAAGAAGGCCUUUGGGGUUGAAAGGCUUUUUACCCGGGGAGAAAAAGGAAAGAACGGGGAAAAAAAGCGCGGGAAAACCCGGGG
rnacentral:rRNA from 1 species